rnacentral:rRNA from 1 species
CCGGAAUUUUUUUUCCCCGCCGGGGAAACUAGCAUAUCAAUAAGCGGAGGAAAAGAAACCAACAGGGAUUGCCCUAGUAACGGCGAGUGAAGCGGCAACAGCUCAAAUUUGAAAUCUGGCGUCUUUGGCGUCCGAGUUGUAAUUUGCAGAGGGCGCUUUGGCAUUGGCAGCGGUCCAAGUUCCUUGGAACAGGACGUCACAGAGGGUGAGAAUCCCGUACGUGGUCGCUAGCCUUUACCGUGUAAAGCCCCUUCGACGAGUCGAGUUGUUUGGGAAUGCAGCUCUAAAUGGGAGGUAAAUUUCUUCUAAAGCUAAAUACUGGCCAGAGACCGAUAGCGCACAAGUAGAGUGAUCGAAAGAUGAAAAGCACUUUGGAAAGAGAGUUAAAAAGCACGUGAAAUUGUUGAAAGGGAAGCGCUUGCAGCCAGACUUGCCUGUAGUUGCUCAUCCGGGUUUCUACCCGGUGCACUCUUCUACGGGCAGGCCAGCAUCAGUUUGGGCGGUUGGAUAAAGGUCUCUGUCAUGUACCUCCUCUCGGGGAGAUCUUAUAGGGGAGACGACAUGCAACCAGCCUGGACUGAGGUCCGCGCAUCUGCUAGGAUGCUGGCGUAAUGGCUGUAAGCGGCCCGUCUUGAAACACGGACCAAGGAGUCUAACAUCUAUGCGAGUGUUUGGGUGUCAAGCCCGAGCGCGUAAUGAAAGUGAACGGAGGUGGGAACCUUUCGGGGUGCACCAUCGACCGAUCCUGAUGUCUUCGGAUGGAUUUGAGUAAGAGCAUAGCUGUUGGGACCCGAAAGAUGGUGAACUAUGCUUGAAUAGGGUGAAGCCAGAGGAAACUCUGGUGGAGGCUCGCAGCGGUUCUGACGUGCAAAUCGAUCGUCAAAUUUGGGCAUAGGGGCGAAAGACUAAUCGAACUAUCUAGUAGCUGGUCCUCAGAAUCCCCCCCCCCCAUAGAUAUAACGGCCGGGGCAAAGGGA